CCUACGGGAGGCAGCAGUGGGGAAUUUUGGACAAUGGGCGCAAGCCUGAUCCAGCAAUGCCGCGUGAGUGAAGAAGGCCUUCGGGUUGUAAAGCUCUUUUGUCAGGGAAGAAACGGUGGGAGCUAAUAUCUUCUGCUAAUGACGGUACCUGAAGAAUAAGCACCGGCUAACUACGUGCCAGCAGCCGCGGUAAUACGUAGGGUGCAAGCGUUAAUCGGAAUUACUGGGCGUAAAGCGUGCGCAGGCGGUUGUGCAAGACAGAUGUGAAAUCCCCGGGCUCAACCUGGGAAUUGCAUUUGUGACUGCACGGCUAGAGUGUGUCAGAGGGGGGUAGAAUUCCACGUGUAGCAGUGAAAUGCGUAGAGAUGUGGAGGAAUACCGAUGGCGAAGGCAGCCCCCUGGGAUAACACUGACGCUCAUGUACGAAGACGUGGGAGGACAACAGGAGUAGAUACCGUACGGUAGUCCGACCGACCCGUAACCGAACUGUCUACUAGUUGUUCGGUCGUUAAUUAGUACGUUAGUACGUACGA
rnacentral:rRNA from 1 species